rnacentral:rRNA from 1 species
CCUACGGGAGGCAGCAGUGGGGAAUAUUGCACAAUGGGGGAAACCCUGAUGCAGCGACGCCGCGUGAGUGAAGAAGUAUUUCGGUAUGUAAAGCUCUAUCAGCAGGGAAGAAAAUGACGGUACCUGAUUAAGAAGCCCCGGCUAACUACGUGCCAGCAGCCGCGGUAAUACGUAGGGGGCGAGCGUUAUCCGGAUUUACUGGGUGUAAAGGGAGCGUAGACGGCAGCACAAGUCUGGAGUGAAAUGCCGGGGCUUAACCCCGGAACUGCUUUGGAAACUGUGCAGCUAGAGGGCAGGAGAGGUAAGUGGAAUUCCGGGUGUAGCGGUGAAAUGCGUAGAUAGUAGGAGGAACACCAGUGGCGAAGGCGGCUUACUGGACUGUAACUGACGUUGAGGCUCGAAAGCGUGGGGAGCAAACAGGAUUAGAUACCCGUGUAGUC